UGAUCGCUUUAAAGUUUAAACUGUAAAGCGGUGCCAUUCGGCAUUCUUCUUUCUUGCGUUGUGCCUGGGAUAAUUCCGCGGCGCUCAUCGCAAGGUAUCGCGCGUACUCUGUACACCAAUCAGCGCGCUGCACAGCUUGUGGCCGCCCACAUCGCCACUGUGGGUUUUGCCUCUGGCCUGGCCAUAUAGGUAAACGGCAGCUUCUGCAGUUCUGCAUCUGUAAAAUUUGUUUUUUUCCAGAACGGAAGUUAGUGCAACCUUGUAAUUCUGCUUUCGUUUUUUAACUUCUUUUGCAACUUUCAUCAGUUUGUCUUCGUACUUUGUUGGGUGUCUGUCGGAUUAUUAGGACCACAGCCACAGAAAUGGAUCCUGCCGGAGAAGCCAACCGCACCAAUCAGUGCAACCCUAACCAUGCGCUCACGGGACCGGGCCACGACGCCGGAUAUCUGGGCGCCGGAACGCAGGACGAUCUCAACAACCACGCUAAUCAGUUGAACCCGAACAACGCCAUCUUCGGCGGCGGAUUCCAGGGGCGCCGGGAUGCAGGCGGGUUUGGAUAACCGCGCCAAUCAACUGAAUCCCAACAACGCGAACUUCGGUGGCGGAGGUGAGAGCGCUGGAUAUCAGGGUGCCGGGAUGCAGGCGGCUAUGGAUAACCAUGCGAAUCAGAUGAAUCCUAACAACGCCAACUUCGGCGGCGGCCAGCAGCAGGCUAAGAAGUAGUGCGCCAAAUGUAUUGCGUUCAUCGUGUGUUGUACAAUUCGUAUUCCGGUAUUCGCAGGUGCCUGUAGCAUAAUGGUCGGCAUGUACCGCGGGUAUUUUUUCUGUAAUCAUUCCGAUAGGAUGUGCCUUUUUUGUUGGUUAGAAUGUCGAGACGAUGAAUGUUUAGAAGCUGCGUAUGUUUGAAUUGUAUUGGCGCGCUAGUUAGAAUUUCUGAAUAAAUAACUGGUCUUUUUGUACGA